rnacentral:rRNA from 1 species
UACGUAGGGAGCAAGCGUUGUCCGGAAUCAUUGGGCGUAAAGAGCGUGUAGGCGGCCAGAUAAGUCCGCUGUGAAAUCUCGAGGCUCAACUUCGAGCUGUCGGUGGAAACUGUCUGGCUGGAGUCCGGAAGAGGAGAAUGGAAUUCCUGGUGUAGCGGUGAAAUGCGCAGAUAUCAGGAGGAACACCAAUGGCGAAGGCAGCACUCUGGGACGUGACUGACGCUGAGACGCGAAAGCGUGGGGAGCAAACAGG